rnacentral:misc_RNA from 1 species
UGAUAGAAAGCGACAAUUUGAUAGAAAAAACUUGUAAGAAGACACCCUAUUAUGAUCUCUGUGUCUCGUCUCUUCAAUCUAACCCUCAAAGCUCUAACACAGAUGUUAGGGGUCUAGCUUCUAUAAUGGGUAAUAUCACCCUGUCUGAUGCAACUAAUACGCUAAAUUACAUACAAGAGCUAAUCAACCAGACCACAGACCCUGUGCUAGAACGGCCCUUGACCCACUGUGCAGAACUGUACAUAUCUGUUGUCGAUUACAUUCUUCCCCAAGCUAUGGA